UCUUAUGUAACUCAUUCAUUUUUGCAGCUGUUCAAAGGGGAAGUUGACAGCAACUACCUUGGGGUUCCAUCAACGGACAGCAAGUACACUGACGUAUACUUUUUAGCCCUUAGUUCUUCUUUCUACAACUGCUUUAUAUACCAAAGCAUCUUAAUUUGGUAUAACAUUGUAAGAGGUGGAGGAAAAGGCAAUGUGAGCAUGGAAAAUAGAAAUAGGUUGUAGACAUGUAUACCACUCUGGGCAAAACUGGUGAUUUUUCGAGAAGAAGGGGGCUCUUUGUGCUGAUUAUAGUGCGGUAAAAAUUUUAUUUGACACAGCUAUUGACUCUUCUCUCAUCAGUUAUUUGUUGAAUUUGAUGCUCAGGAGUUUUUAAAGGAUUUAUAAUAGAACUUUGACACGCAGCAUA